rnacentral:lncRNA from 1 species
CCCCCCCCCCCCCCCCCCCCCCCCCCCCCUCUAGACGCUGUGGGACAACUUUGAGCGCAGGGUGAUUGACGGAAGUCAUAAAACCAAAGUGCCGGCACUAGAUUUUUGUGGGGAAGAUGUUCAAGAUGGAGGUGUGGGAGAAGCUGCUGACCUCCAUGAGGAUCGGAGAGGUGGCCGAGUUCUGGUGUGAUGCCGUUACCCCGUCUAGGCAAAGUCUCAAUCCAAGCUUUCUUCAAAAGAUGGCAGUCCUGCCCAUGCUGCCCAGUGUGGAACGAGAAGGAAGCCAAUAAAUGCUUUCACAUGGUGUCCAACCCGGACAUACACUUGCCUCUCUGGUACACAAAGAGCGGAGGGCCUUCGCUGAUAGAAUGAGGGGGAAAUACUGGGAGGAGAAGGAGAAAUACUGGAGGAGAAGGAGAAAUACUGGAGGAGAAGGAGAAAUACUGGAGGAGAAGGAGAAAUACUGGAGGAGAAGGAGAAGGAGAAAUACUGGACUAGAAGGAGAAAUACUGGAGGAGAAGGAGGGGAAGAAAGGGGAGGAAGAGGAAGAAGAGAAAGAGGAUGCAGCGUAGGAUGAGAGCAAGGAGACCAAAGUGAAGAAGGAGGAUGAAUGCAAAGAUGAAAAACCAUGGAACAUGGUUGUAACGAAGGGUGAAACCGCCACAGUGAAAGAUAAGGCUACAAUGAAGGAUGAAACAGCCAAUAAGAAGGCCGAGAGCAGUCUGGAAACCCAGACCAAUCAGAGGUCUCCAUCCGUGGGAGAGAGGAUGGACUGGCAGCAGAAGUUAAGAUAUCACGUUCCUGCAGAAGGAGGGUAACGUCCUGCUAACAGAGCAAUACAGCGAGGCCACAGGGAAUUCCAAGGAGGCCCUGGAGCAUGUGGACGUCAUUCAGAACAAGGCAGUGUACCAGCGGGCUAGGGCGCACUUGGCUCUGUGCAACGAGCAGGAGGCCAGGAAGCACUUCCGGAUGUUGGAGCGUUUGGAGCCCAGGUUCAAGCCCAUCGUCAAUCAGGAAAAUAAGAGGAUGGCAGUAACUCUCGUAGCCUGUGCAGCUGGGACUCCAGCUGUUUGUUGUGGUCCUCCAGGAUCUGCAUGCGUGUCUCCAGGCGAGUCUUGUGCUGCCGGAGGACCCUUGCCUCGGCCAGGAGCUCCUCGUCCUGCUGGCCCUCCGUGGGAGAUCCCGGAACACCCUCACCUCCCUCCGUCAGCUGGGGCGCCGCCGCCGCCUCCUCAUGCCUCCACUUCAGCCGCCGCCACUCCCCCUGCAGCACCCUGGGGAAUAGGAGAGAGGACAGAGACAUCAGCAGACAGCAUUUUAAAGAGC